GAUGAACGCUGGCGGCGUGCCUAAUACAUGCAAGUCGAGCGAAUGGAUUAAGAGCUUGCUCUUAUGAAGUUAGCGGCGGACGGGUGAGUAACACGUGGGUAACCUGCCCAUAAGACUGGGAUAACUCCGGGAAACCGGGGCUAAUACCGGAUAACAUUUUGAACCGCAUGGUUCGAAAUUGAAAGGCGUCUUCGGCUGUCACUUAUGGCUGGACCCGCGUCGCAUUAGCUAGUUGGUGAGGUAACGGCUCACCAAGGCAGCGAUGCGUAGCCGACCUGAGGGGGUGAUCGGCCACACUGGAACUGAGACACGGCCCAGACUCCUACGGGAGGCAGCAGUAGGGAAUCUUCCGCAAUGGACGAAAGUCUGACGGAGCAACGCCGCGUGAGUGAUGAAGGCUUUCGGGUCGUAAAACUCUGUUGUUAGGGAAGAACAAGUGCUAGUUGAAUAAGCUGGCACCUUGACGGUACCUAACCAGAAAGCCACGGCUAACUACGUGCCAGCAGCCGCGGUAA
rnacentral:rRNA from 1 species